CCCGCUCAAUUCCUCUCUGGAUCUGAAUGUUGAACCGAGCCAUCGUCACCAUGGCCUCCGAUGUCCACGCGCCCACCGAGCUCCCCGCGCCCAGCCACCUCGACCAGGAGCUUCACCGAUGUCCACUCCGUCGACUAAGUCCAUCGUUCGGAGCCGGGAGCCCCUACAUCGACCACAUCGAGGUCAUCUUCAACCUUCGCCCCGUCUUUCGCCGUCUUUGAAACGGCCUCAUCAGAGCCUCCCCGACCUUCCAAGCACGUCAUCGAGCACCGCAGUGAGCCCCUCUGCCGAUUCCCUCAUUUUUCCCUUCGAUCUAGUGUUUGCCGUCGCUCCCGGGGUCGUCUGUGGUCGUCAUGGUCGGAGCUCCGCUCGCCGCGCCCCUAGUCAUGCCCGCGAGAACCUGGCCGCGCUUGCGCCCCCUGGGCGCCCCUGCCCGUCCGCCCAUUGCCGCUCACGCGCGCUCGUGCUACUGCUGCUCAUGCUACUCUGUUGCUGCUCCCGCUCGCUGCUCUCGAUGCAUCCUGCUGCUGCCGCUACUUGGCCGCAGCUGCGUCUGCUCCCUGCUCCUUGUAACGCUGCUGCUUGCUGUUGCUAAUGCCUACUGCUGUUGCUGCUACCUAUACUGCUCAUGCCGCUGCUGUUGCUGGUUGCCAUGGCCGUGAGUGUGUGUUCGUGUGUGUGCACGGCUGUGCCACGGCCGGCCCUUAUUUAAUUAGUCUAGGCUUAGUUAGAAGUACUACCAGUUUAGUGCUAAGUUAAUCUAGUAGUAGAUGACAUGUAGACCCCAUUAAAUAAGUUAGAUUUAUUUAUUUGUUUAGGUAAAUAGUCUAUGACAUGUGGGCCACACCUCCCCUUUUGACUAGUCAAUUUGACUUGGUCAAUUCGGAUUAAACUAAAUAUAAAAAUUCAGAGAAUUCAUAGAAAAUAAUCCGUAACUCGGAUGAAAAGGUUUUCUACAUGAAAGUUGCUCAGAAAAAUCCAACGAAUCUGGAUAUGCGGUCCUUUCAUCUGUCACAUGCCCCUAACAUGCUGAACAUGGAACCGUCCCCUCUUUUUUCAUCUGUCCGAAAAUGCCAAACUUCGGGAAAGCAUUCCCGGAUGUUAUCCCUCUUCGCUGUUAGCGUGUAGCACCGCGUUAGAACACGUCUAGCUCUGCCUGUUAUCCUGUUAUGCUCUUGCUUGCUAUGUAUUUACUGUCCCCCCCCUUCUCUUCGGUAGACCCUGUGGUGGCUGUCGAUGCCACUGUGAUCGACUACGUCAUCGACGACCCCUCCUUCUCGUUUGAGCAACCAAGCAAGCCCCCCCCCCUUUGAUUAUCCCGAUAUCGCCCAUUCCAUUCUCUCAUGCUUGCAUUAGAUUUUGCUAUUGUUAUCGUUUGCUUCUAUUCUGAUGCAUAGCCUGCUUUUGUAACCUGCUUAUUGUUACCUUAUCUGCUUAUCCUAAACUGCUUAGUAUAGGUUGGUUAGUGAUCCAUCAGUGACCCCCACCUUGUCCUUAUUGCCCCUGCUUCAUCAUUAAAGACCCGAUCAACGGGAUCGAAGACCAGGCUCCGGCACCGCACAUCAUUUUCUACUUAGUUGCUCGACACUGCUGGGUUACUAUCGAGUGCCCAGGGUGAGACCUCUACAGCAUUUCUGAUGUUAACCCUGUAGUGUAGCUAUUCGGUCGUGGUCAUCGAGGGUGAUUCCGCCUUAACCACUUCUGAUACGACUCUGUCGUGCAACCCCUCAAGUGUGAACCUCAGGGGUGAUUCCUCUUACGUUCACCUUGAUGAUUACAUCGAGUGGAAUUCACCGGGGGUGAUUCCUCGGGUUUUCCCCUUGAUGUUUAGACACACAGUUACUAUGAUUACUAUGACUUUACACUGAACCAUGUUACUAAAGACGGGCCGACCCUGAGGGGUACCCGCGGAAGCAUAAUUGCGAGUGAUGUGGAGUCGGGUUGACCUGGAAGGUGCCCGAGAUAUAAUUACGAGGCGUGGCCGGGCAUUCUUAGCCCUUGCCGCAAGUCCUCGAGACGGGGCAACGGGGUCACAUCUUUCCUGAGUCUCUGCUUGUUACCGCGCGUUCCUAAUCCACUACGAUUUGGAUAUUUGAUCCGAGGGGCCUCUGGCCUGAUAGCACUAACCAUCAUGUGGGCAUAGUACGGGUGUUCUGCAUCGUAUGCAUCAGUCGAAGCUUAAUAGACAUCAGCGACUGAGCGGCGCGCGCCAGGUUGGACUGGUAAGCACUUGCCUUUUUAAAGGAGGUAGCUAGGUCUGCUCACCAGUCGCGUACACAACGUGCAGGAGUUCCCGGGGCGAUGGUCCAUGACCCCUGGGGGCAUAGGUUUAGUCCGGCAUGCUGACCUCUCUAUUAAGCCUAGGUCGGGUUGCGGUGUAUUGUUUGGUCGAGGCCGGGCAUGACCCAGGAAAGUGUGUCCGGCCGGAGUUAAGCGAGCGUGGUGGGUAAGUUGGUGCACCCCUGCAGGGAAGAAAACAUCUAUCGAUAGCCUGUCCUAUGGUAACGGACACUUGGAGUUGUAUCCCGAUCGAUACAACUAGAACUGGAUACUUGUGAUGAGAAUUGGAUUGUGAUGACAAUUGGAUAGUAUGGCUCUGGGAUUGCUUUCUCACAUGGAGUCGAGAAAGGAUCUCUGGCCGAGGUUGAUAACACUACCACUGCUGUACUUUAUGCUACUCUACUCCCUCCUAUUUGCUGCAAGAUGGUGGUUUCCAGAAGAUGCUAGUCUUCGAUAGGACUAGGCCUUCUCUCUAUUCUGGCAUUUCUGCAGCCCAGUCCACAUAUACAACCUUAUUUUGAUAAUGUUGCAUAUGUAGUGUAGAUCCUUGCUUGCGAGUACUUUGGAUGAGUACUCACGGUUGCCUUGCUCCCCCUUUUCCCUCUUUCUUUUUCUUUCCGGAUGAUGCAACCAGAUGUCGGAGUCUAGGAGCCAGAUGCCACCGCCCGUGCCUACUACUACAUGAAGACCGCUGAUGACCAGGAGUAGUUAGGAGGCUCCCAGGCAGGAGGCCUUGCCUUUUCGAUUGUAGAUGCUUUUGUGCUAGCCUUCUUAAGGCAAACUUGUCUAACUUAUGUCUGUACUUAGAUAUUGUUGCUUCCGCUGACUCUUGUGUAUUCGAGCUUAUGUAUUUGAACCCUCGAGGCCCCUUGCUUGUAAUAUAAAGUUUGUAUUAUUUUAA
rnacentral:lncRNA from 1 species